CCUGCGGGCACUCGAAGUGGCCGCACCCAUCCGUGACCCCGCCCCCGGUGGACUCUGGGACCUGCUGCUGUUCUGACUUCUCGGCGCGACCGAGGCGCUGCGGGGUCGCAGUCAAACGUGGGUGUCGGGCCAGGCGCAGAACCGAACACAGGUCCCGCCUCCCUAACCUUUGGCCUCUGGCCUGCGAGUGCAGGAGAGGCCAUGAGGCGGCGCCCGGGAGGAGCUGACCUGGCAGGAAGUUCAGCCUGGGUGGCCCGGGAAGGGGAAGAGGCCGCGUCGCCCCAGGCUCUCAGGGACCGGGCUGGGCCGUGCGCCAGGCCCGCUUCCCCUCCACCCCUGUCCAGGUGUUGCUACCACCUACUUCCCUCGUCUCGAUCUGGGACAGAGCCUGGCCGAGGUGGAGACCUGGCUCCCACUCUGACAGGUAACCACAGAAACAGCUGUGCACGCGGAGCCCGGCGCCCCUGUUGUGCUGAGACAGAGCCAUCUUUACAGCGGCGUCUCUAGGGAGAAACUCCAAUCCCUCCUUCAAAUUCUCCACAAAAAGCUCUGUGAGCGAGUGAACUCCUGGUACACUUGAAGCUGCUGCGCACUCGGUGGCAGAGUACCUGAUCCCCGCCCCCAGCUUCCGGACCCCUCUCUUUCCCUCCCUGUCUCCUGAGGACAGAAUGGCAAAACCAAAACCACCGGAAGCUCCUCUCCCAGCUGGCCCUGCUGUGAGAACAAACGAAAUAAUAUCUGAGAGGGUUAGCAGUGCCCUGCUGCUGCGGGUACGUUAGGCACUACCGCAUGGUAGUGCCAGCCUAUAAUUCCAGCACCCAGAGGCUGAGACAGGAGGGUUGCUGCAAGUUCGAGCCCAGCCUGGGCUUCAUAAUGAGUUCACGAACAGCCUGGAUGACAUGGUG
rnacentral:lncRNA from 1 species